AUGUGCCACUCCCGCACUGCGGUUCUGGGCGCGAUGCCCGUAACCACCUGACAACCGCGCGCCUUGUUUUGUUAGCC
rnacentral:sRNA from 1 species